rnacentral:rRNA from 1 species
AUACAUGCAAGUCGAGCGAGCUGAAUCAAAGAUCCUUCGGGAUGAUUUGUCGGAUGCUAGCGGCGGAUGGGUGAGUAACACGUGGGCAAUCUGCCCUAAAGACUGGGAUACCUCUUGGAAACAGGUGCUAAUACCGGAUAACAACAUGAAUCGCAUGAUUCAAGUUUGAAAGGCGGCGUAAGCUGUCACUUUAGGAUGAGCCCGCGGCGCAUUAGCUAGUUGGUGGGGUAAAGGCCUACCAAGGCAAUGAUGCGUAGCCGAGUUGAGAGACUGAUCGGCCACAUUGGGACUGAGACACGGCCCAAACUCCUACGGGAGGCAGCAGUAGGGAAUCUUCCACAAUGGACGCAAGUCUGAUGGAGCAACGCCGCGUGAGUGAAGAAGGUUUUCGGAUCGUAAAGCUCUGUUGUUGGUGAAGAAGGAUAGAGGCAGUAACUGGUCUUUAUUUGACGGUAAUCAACCAGAAAGUCACGGCUAACUACGUGCCAGCAGCCGCGGUAAUACGUAGGUGGCAAGCGUUGUCCGGAUUUAUUGGGCGUAAAGCGAGCGCAGGCGGAAUGAUAAGUCUGAUGUGAAAGCCCACGGCUCAACCGUGGAACUGCAUCGGAAACUGUCAUUCUUGAGUGCAGAAGAGGAGAGUGGAAUUCCAUGUGUAGCGGUGGAAUGCGUAGAUAUAUGGAAGAACACCAGUGGCGAAGGCGGCUCUCUGGUCUGCAACUGACGCUGAGGCUCGAAAGCAUGGGUAGCGAACAGGAUUAGAUACCCUGGUAGUCCAUGCCGUAAACGAUGAGCGCUAGGUGUUGGGGACUUUCCGGUCCUCAGUGCCGCAGCAAACGCAUUAAGCGCU